rnacentral:rRNA from 1 species
CAUAUUUGUAUCCCUUGGGUGUACUUUCCCGGUGGUUGGUUAACAUCAAUUUCGGUCAUCAUAAAAUGAUGGGAGGAAUGUAGCUUCGAUCUCGGUUGAAGUGUUAUAGCCUCUGGUAGAUGUGAUGAUCGGGAUUGAGGAUUGCAACGAAUACCUU